CCCCUGGAAGGAGAUCACCAUCCCCAUAACUUGACAAUGCUGAGGCCAACCCUAUCCACUUGUACUUUCUCCCAUAUCUAAGUCAUUAUGCUUGAGUCAAAAUUCUCAAUAAUGUAGCCAUUUGGAAAACUUAGUCCAGGGAAAAGUCUCAUUGAAUAUUUUAAAUGAGAAAAAGAAUAAUGCAACCUGGGCAUGGUGAUGCACACAUGUAAUCCCAGUGGCCUGGGAGGCUGAGACAGGAGGAUGGUAAGUUUGAGUCCAGGCUCAGCAACUAAGCAAGACCCUGUCUCAAAAUAAGAAACAAAAAGGGCUGAGGAUGUUAAGUGGUUAAGUGCCCCAGGGUUCAAUCUCUGGUAUCAAAAAAUGAAACAAACUAAAACAAAAAAAGAAUUUAAAAGACUGAGAAAUGAAUUGUGCUUUCAAAUAGACUCCAUUAAUCUACUAGGUCCUUAGGUUUCUAGGUCUUGAUAAUGCCUCUGGAAUGAAAAUAACUACAAAAAAAAAAACAAACAAACAAACAAAACAAGCAAACAAAAACCAUUCCUUUACCCCUUAAUCCCUGAAGUCUAGGAUUUUAUUCACCUCCAUCCUUCACACCUUCACUGCCUGUCUGGUGUUCUGGCUUUUAUGUGGUAGAUCUCACUUAGUAAUGGGCUUCAGUCCAAAAUGCUCUUCUUGUCUAGGUGUCUAGUCCUCAGAAGCCUCUUUCCCAUGGAAUGAUGAGAUAAAUGGUGACUGGUUCCCAGACUGGUCCUCAAACAUCUAUUUAUCUCAGAGAGCUGCUUACAAUGAAAACUAGUGGAAGAAGCCAUCCCUACACACUAGCUGUUAGGAACACAGUAAAGCUGGCUUCGUGAUAGUUUCUGUUGAGGCUGAGGGUGUCAGUGAAGGUCAUGCCAGCAAUAGACACGGGACAGAGUCAUUGAGUACAAAUAGACAAAGAGGAUGAAGAAGCUGGCAGUGUCAACACUGAGACCUUCCCCAGGCCCAGUGAGUCCCAUUUAACUGGGCCUUGCCCUUCUGAGGCUGGAUUAUUGGACAAGCUUACUGGAGCUCUUGUACUCAGCUGCUGCAUUUAUAGCCCACUUCUUCCUCCUCCAUAUCCAUGGAUUCAAGCAACUGCAGAGGGACAAUGUUUGAAAAAAAAAAAAAAAAACCUCCAAGUGUACAGAAUAUGCACAGAAAAUUUUCAUGUCAUUGUUCCCUAAGCAAUAUAGCACAACAAUUGUUUACAUAGUACUAAUAUUGUUUGGGAUAUUUAUAAGUAAUGUAGAGAUUAUUUAAAGUGUAUGGGAAGAUGCGUGUAGGUUAUCUGAAAAUACUGUGCCAUUUUAUAUAAGGAACUCGAGUAUCUGGGAAUUCUGGAAUCUGUGAGAGGUCCUGGAACCAAUUCUCUAUAGAAACCAAAGGGUGACUACAUAAGGGCUCGAUUAAGUUCUACUAUCAAUUUUUAGGUCAAAGAGAGUAUCAUUCUGAAAUUCUGCUUGGAUAUCAAAGUAAAAGUUGAUCAAUUUUAAUAUCCAAUCUGAAAUUUUUUGCCCUUAGACUAAAGGCAUAAUAGUGGACAUGAUCAUGGAAUGUGGGAAUUCAUCCUCUUUGCCUCUUCUUCAUUCCCUGGAAAAGCUGGACAGGAAGGGAACAGCAAUGGAAGAACCUCUUGGGGGCUCAGGAAUUACAGGCUUUCUUGUUUGUUCCUUUUUGCCUGGAAGAUGCUGCGGGCAUCUCCCGAUGACUGGUUCCCUCCCAUCCCUGAGAUCUCAGUGCUGGUAUCCACUCCUCUGAGGGAGCUCUUCCUUGACCUGGCCAGUCCAAACCAAAUUAGGCCACACCCAAUGCUCUCACUAGCACCUCCAUCAUCUUUAUUGUUAAUCAGCUAUAGGAUUAUCCUCCUCAUUUUGUUUUAAUUUGUCUAGCUUGUCUUUUUUACCCCCAAAUGUAAGCUGCACAUGAGGGUCUUUACCCAAUGGUGUCCUACAAGUGCCUGGGACAAAAUAAGGACUCGAUAUAUUUUCAGUAAUUGCUGACAUUUGCUGGCCUUCUGACCCCUAAACCCUUAUCAGCACCUACUUCCAUCCCCAUGACCAGACAUACCAACCUUUAGCUUCAGUUGACAUCUCCAAUAUUUCCUAUGCCUCCCACAUAUUUCUCACCAGAAUAACCUAGGGCAACCUAGGAUAAGAAGUGGAUUCUUGUGCCUUGCCUCCAGAUGUUGAGAUUCUGUCAGACUAAGAUUAGCCCUGGAUUCCCAGCCAAAUGACUGACUCCAGUAAAAUCCAUUUUUAUUCUUAAUGAUACAUGUAUCCCUCUUACUUCUCUCAUCUUGUGAUAUUUGACUUCAAAUGCAUUUCUCCCACGGAAGAUCCAUAUUCUAAGAAUUUGGUCUUAGACAACACCAACCCAUUAGUUUCCUAGGUAUUCUGUCAAUGUGAUCUCCUUCCUGUCCUAGGGCUUUAAGCUGCAGAUGGGAAAUAUUAAUUGUUGACCUACCACCCCUUAGCCAUACUCUUCACUAUAAUAUUUAAUGGGUAACUUGAAAAAACAAAACUAUUCUGUAGAAAAAACUCUGAUGCAGGUUGCAUUACAUUAAAGGUAGCAAAGUUUCACAUGUUAGAAAGGCAUAAUUGUUCAUCCUGCUUUCAUUGAUCACCAUGCUCCCUCCCAUAUGAUACAACUAGCUGCUCCAUAACUGCACACUGAUCUAAGGCUUUGUGACAGUUCCUCUGUUUCAAGCAACAGUAAAUUCACCUCCAAAAAGUCAGAAAGGGAGUUUUUUGAUGGCUGCUGUCAAUUUUAUUGCUUUAUCUGGUUACUAGGAUAGAAUCUGUACACAUAGUGUGUUUAUUGGUUUUAUGUAUUGUGUGUUGUUGCUGCUCUGACAAGCUACUCCUAUAAAAAUGUGUUAUUAUUGCAUGAUGUAGCUCAGUGAGCUGACCCUGCAUUUCAAAGUGUACUGAAGCAAAUAGCAUUGAAGUCCAUAAAAGCUGACUGGCCUCCAUCACAGAGGAUUCUCUGCGUGAGCUGCAACUCCUACAAUCUGAGGAAGAAUUAUACCUUUCCCUGUGCCAGCAGCCACUGCUAUUAACUGAGCACAGCACAACCUCAAACACAGGCAUUAUCUGAAAAUUUUCAAAACAGGAAACUCUUAAGUCAUUCUUACUUGUCCAACUCUCUGAUAAACGUUGAUUGCAAUUUUGAAAUUUACAAAAGUAUACAACAACUGGCUUUUUAAUGUUUUCUUUUGUUAGUAUAGAAUACAAGAGGGGUAACUGACAAUGUUUUCUUUCUGCUCAGAAUGUUGAAGAGCUUUGCUGUUUAAUCUUUCAUGAGCAGUAACAGCUUUUAAAUACAAUCUGUAUUUAAUUAAUUCUUUCUUUUUAAAAUCUUAUCAGAUCAAUAACUGAUUUCAAAACAUUAGCUGGUUAGCUCUAAGCAGAAAAGACUGGGGAGUCAAUGGCCUGAUGUGUUAAGAAUCUGAAUUCUAGGCCAGGUGUGAUAGCAAACACCUAUAACCCCAGUUGUUCAGGAGGCUGAGGCCAGAGGAUCACAAGUCCAAGGCCAAUCUGGGUAACUUAAUGAGACCCUGUCUUAAAAUAAAAUAAAAGAGCCUUGAGGUUUAGCUCAAUGGUAGAACACUUUCCUACUAUGCCCAAGGCCUUGGAUUCAAUCCCCAGAAUGGGGAGGGGAAAAAGAGCACAAUUUGCCCAACAUAGCAGGAGGUAGCCUGCAGGCCAUAGGGAGAUGGAUUAGCUCAGUGUGGCUCCCAAGCCCAACUGAUUAUCAGAAUGACCUGGGGAAUUCUUUACAAAACAGUUGCCUAUGUCCCAACUUUAGCUAUUGAGACGGGGGUUGGUUUUGCACUCUUGACCAAAUUAUUUUAUAUAAAAUCCUUCCUUAAUCUUAACAACAAACAGCAGCAGAAGCUUGUUAAACUCCAUCAGCCCAAACACUGUAAUUCCAUAUCCCAUGAGAAGAAAUUUCUUAACGAAAAUGGGACAGCAGCACUAAGGAGCCCUCAAACCCAGGAACAUCCUGGGCAGGUAGUCUGUGUCUUCUGCCAUCACUGCCAGGCGACAGGACUCUCCUAAAACCACCCUGCUUUCCACCUGUGUCCUUCCCACUCUCAUGCUAUGCUAGCUAUUUAUGACUUGAAAUCAGUUAUUGAAUAUGAUGAGACUUUAAAAUGAAAGCAUUUGAUUUAUGGAUGGUAUUUAAAAGCUGUUAUUUCUCAUGAAAGAUUUAGCAGCAGCUGGGCAUGGUGGCAUGCGCCCGUAAUCCUAGCAGCUCGGGAGACUGAGGCAGGAGAAUCUUAAGUUCGAAGCCAGCCUCAGCAAUUUAGUGAGACCUUAAGCAACUCAGUGAGACCCUGUCUCAAUGGAAAAUAUAAAAAAAAAAGAGUUGGGGAUGUGGCCAAGUAGUUAAGUGCCCUUGGGUUCAAUCCUCAGUACAAAAAAAAGAUUAAGCAGCAAAGCUCAUCAAAGACCCAGCCUCCCACCUUCCUCAUCUUUAAUUUUCCCUGAGUACUUGACUGUUCAAGAUAUGGUACUAGAUCAUGCAAAGAUAGGGGGAAAACAAGUGGCCACCAGACACCCACCCUUCUCCUUCUGCUCCCUUCAUGUUGGUUCAUGGGCUUUCUAAAUAGCUUGGAAAACUAUUUCCUUCUCCCUCUCUAGUAACAACCUAAAUAUGCAACAAGAAAUAAGUGAUUAAAUAAAUUAGGAAAUGCCCUGAAUAAGUAGGGAGAGAUUCAAUGUUCUUAUGUGGAACAACUUAAUACUAUAAAUAAGUCAAUGCAAUUAACAAUCAGAUAAAGGCAUAUUAAAAUGAAAUGAACUUUUAUAUCUACCAGACUAACCCAAAAGAGAAAGCUGGAUAAUAGUGUAGGUGGGGAACUGCAUGCCUUAGGUUUAAACUGAUAUAGCCCUCCUAAGACCAUCUAAGGCCAUAAUCUGACAAAUUAAAAUGUGAUCCUCAAAUAUGGGGUGGGGGGUAUGUCGCAAGAAUUCAUGGCAGCAUAAUUUAAGGAUGGGGAAGUUUGUAGCAAUUUGAGUUUUCAUCACUAGGAAAGUGAGUGGAUAAAGUAGGGAAGAUGAAAAACACAUAGUUAGAAGCAAUGGAUUUGAUACAACAACAACUGAAUCUUAAACAUUAAAGAAAAACUUUGCAGACAAUUUAAAGUUAACAGAGUUUAUUUGAGCAAAGAUGGAUUCAUGUAUUGGAUAUACCCUGAACCAGUAGAGUUUCAUUUUUUUCUUUCUUUUUUUUAAAGUUUAGUUUUAGACAGAGUCUUGCUAAAUUUCUGAGGCUGACCUCAAACUUGUAAUCCUCCUGCCUCAGCCUUCUGAGUCUCUGGGAUUACCAGUUUGCAUCACACUCAGCUUCUGAACCAGUGGAACUUCAUAUAGCUCCAUCCAGCAAUAUAGCCAAAUGGUAUUUAUUCAUAGAUAGGAAAAGGAAGUGACAUAUAGAAACCACUUGAUUGGUUAUAGCUCAGUAUUUGCCUUAUUCAGGCAUGGUAUAUUGAGGCAUCUGCCUCAUAUGGAUAUAGUCUGAUCUGCUCACAGUCUGUGAUUGGCUGCAACUCAGCAGCUGCAAUUGGCUAAAACUCAGUGAUCUGUUAAAUGGAUAUACUCUUAGUAAGGUUGCAGUUUGUUGAUGUACAGAGUCAGUGUUAGGCAAAUUUACUUUAACAUACAGAGUUUCAGGGAGGAACAAAAACCAAAAUGAUGUAUUAACAUGAUCACCUACAUAAAUUAAAAAGGCAUGUAUACAAACAAUGUAUAAAAAAUAUUUUUAAAGAACUCAAACCAAAAAAUAAACCACUAAUAUUGUUGCUGAUUAUAUGGGGGUUGGGGGCGAAAGGCAAUAUCAAGAUAAAUUAAAUGAACCUUAGCCAUGGUUGAUGUGCCCAGAACUGAAGAGUAAGAUAAUAUUCAUCAUCAUCAUCAUUAUCAUCAUCAUCAUCAUCAUCAUCAUCUGUGCCUGAGGUUUUCUAGUAUAGACACACACACACACACACACACACACACACACGAGAAAAUAAUAUGGCACAAUCAUAUAAUGAAAUGCCAUAUGGCCAUUAUAAAUAACAUUGCAGAAUAUAUUUACAGACAUUGAAAUAUAUUUGCUUUAAUAUCCAAGCAAAAGAGCAGAUUACUAAACAUGAUGCUCAUUAUUAUUUCAUUUGUCAGCAAAAUAAAUAAUACCUAAAUAUUAAACAGUGACAGAGUGGCUGGUGGGGUUGCACUAAUUUGAGAACUUUUCUCCUUGCUAUAUUUUGAAUUUUCCUUCAAUGUAUUUUCCAACUAUAGGCAAUAAGGAAAAAAAUAAAAGAAUUGUUGCUUUGGGGUAAACAAUAAGAAGUCAAGGAUCCUGAGAACCACAGGUACUCAAAAGAAGGCAGUGUUUUUCCAAGGAAUGCAAAUGAUCAAGCUCAGCCUUUGUGGGUCACUUUUUCCUUUUUCUUGAGACAGAGGGAGCCAAAGCUGGUUUGAGGAUCCCCAACUGUAGGACACAAAUUACAGGGGACAAUCCACAGGAAAUGCUUCAGAUCCCAACAGAAGUCAAUACAUUUCUACUCAUGAAAAUUAUUUCAGCAUGGGACCCUUAACACAGCAUAUGUAUUCCAAAAGGACAGGAUUUUCUGGUAAAGAUUUUUAUUUAGACAGGUAGGUGCUUGAGGAUGUGUUCAUGCCAACCUGACUGUGACCUUUGUAGCUGCAAAGUACCUGCUGCAGGCUUUGCAAACAUCUUCAUUCUUCACCACCCAGCCGCUGACAGCUAAUUCUGGGCAGUGCUUAGUGAAGCAGGAUGAAUAUUUGUAAGAUGCUUUGAGCUUUACCAUAUUAAUGGACUUUUUUAAAGCCAUGUGAGGAGAAAAAAUAUAAUCAUAUGCAACAUUUAAGCAUACUGGACUGGUACGUCACAGAGAUUCCCUUUCUCAAGUUCUUAUCUGCAUGCAAGUAUUCAAUAAAAUUAUGUAGGGGCCCAGGGGUUUGAACUGAGCACUCGCACUGUCUUCAACAGACCAAAGCAAUAUAUGGAAGUUUAAUCACAGUAACUAAGACUUGGCUGGUUGCAGGAUACCCUGUCACCAAUUAACUGAUUAAGCUAUAAAUAAUACUAGAUAAGCUGUGCCCAAUUGACGGGUUGUUCACUAGGCUGUAACCAAUUAUUUUACCUGCCUCACUUCUGUUUUCCUAUAAAUGCUGUCUGAUCACAUUGUUGGGUAUUUUCAGCACCUAUUCUGGUUCUGGGAGUGCCAGGUUCUACUUUGUUUUGCUUACAUAAAUUCUACUAAAUUUAAUUCGUCUAAGGCAUCUUCCUUCUAGACUCCUGGGGGCAGCAGGUAAUCGGGUGUGGGGACUGCUGGGAACUUCAUGGCCACUGUCUUCUUACUGAACUUGGGAAUGAUAGAUUCCAGUUGGGGAAUAAAUUCUGCCUUCUGUCUCAGCAAACUGUUCCAGUCUAAAGAACGGAAGAAACGAUGCUGCUUGACUUCGUAUGCACCACCUGGAAGAGAAGAGGGUGGAGACAGAGCAAAGUGAUGGUGUAUACUUCAAGAGCUACAACAGAAGAAGCAAUAAAAAUAGCUACCAAUAAAACAUUAUCUGAAGACAUGACUACAUUCUUGCCAAACAACAAGGCUUUUUUGAAGAAUCUUUAUUUGUGGGUGAAAUUUUCAAUGCUACAUUAAAGGAAAAAGUAAGAAGGAAAAACAUCUAAUGGAAACAAAGGAUACAAAGAAAUUGGCCAUAAAAUAAAAUCAUCAUUUCAACACUACUCACAAAAUUUAGAUUUAAAAAAUGCACAACAAUGAAAGAAUGAAAAGCUCUGAUAUCAACUGGGCUACUUCAAUUGAAUGAAGAAAAAGCAAAUUUCUUUCUUUGUUUAAUUGUUAUAGUCACCUGGGGUAAUACAUUGUAUAUUAUACUUGAUGCAGGAAUAAACUGAACUAUACUGAUGUAAUAUAACCAACUAAAAUCAAGAAAGAAUUUUGAAACAGGAACUAGGAAGUUGCAUUGGUCAAAAGUGCUCUCAUGAUCUGAAUUCAGCAACCAAAUCUGUUCUUGUAAAUUGCUGUGGAAAUAUAUUCUGUGAUUUAACCUGGCAAAUAACAACUAGGCAACUAGGAGAGACCCCUAGCAUUUAUUCAAGGGCAUUAGAUUUCCAAUGGAAGUGAAAGUAAUUUAAACCUCUGUAACUUCCACAAAGCCAGACCAUUAUUACAAGGGAGGAAAAAAGGGAGGCGGAGGAGUAAUUUACAAUUAGAUGGAUUGAGCCUCAUCAGUACAGGCUGAGCAUCCUCUUCCAAAAUUCUUGGGACCACAAGUGUUUCAGAUUUGGGAACUUUUUUGUCAAAUAUGUAUAUAAGCUUUAACCUUGAGCAUCCCAAAUUCCUCAAAUCUGAAACUCUUUAGAGUAUCAUGUUCCUGCUCAAAAGUUUCAAUGGCUCUCAAGAAGUUUCAGAAGUUUGAGCAUUCUGGAUUUUGGAUUUGCAGAUUAGGGAUACUGAACCUGUGUUACAAUUAGCAGUAUGAAAAUGUUUCCUUGUUCCAGAUAAAAUCUGUGAUAUUAUGAUGCUCAUUUUUUAUUGUUUUUAAACCUGAAUAUUUAAAAUUAACUUGAUAAAUUUGCUCUUGAAUCUGGGUUAGAAAAUAUGGAAAAGAAGUGUGCAUCAUCAUAUUUUACAGUCUGUAAUUGAACUAUUAUAGGAGGUGUCUAUCAAUGAAACAAAUAAGGUCAGAAAAGAUUAAUAAGCCUGACCUUCAUUCUUCACCCAAGAAUAGUUUUUAAAAUACAGCAAUAUUUCCUCUAUUGGGCUAAAUUCAUAAGAAAACAAAAUGUGAAAGUCUUAAAAUGGCAUUUUUUUUAAAAGGCUCAGAAAAUCACAGCAACAGUGACCCUGGAUAAAAUCUCCAUGCUUCCUAAAUGAAAAUCAACUCCAAAAUUGAAGAGGAAGACUCCCAGAUGAUAAACAGCCAAUUUGAAUCUUCAUAACCAAUACAGAGUUCUGUUUACCUGAAUAAAUGUUUAAGAAGAUGAUCACUCACGUCAUAAUCUAAAUUAAUACUUUUUGAAGAGUGUGGAGGGAAUUCCAGUUGGAAGUUCAUGCAAAAUGAACCAGAGGUCUCCUGUGAUAAUCUCCUGUCAUGGCUUAUGGUUUGUCAAAAAAUAACAUGCUUUGGGGUUUGUGUAUUUUUUUUUUUUUGAAAGCACAGAAACCAGAUUCAUCUGUCCUUCAGUCACCCACUUCAUUAUUAGAUUCUCUUCAUUUUUAUAAAUCUGGCAGGAUUAAGAGGCUAUGGUUUCUGUCAUGUUUUAAUGCAUGCUGUAAUGAGAUUUGCAUUUUUCUUAUUAAAGUAAUUAAAUGCAUUCCCUCCCCCCCU